AGCGAGGUAGGGGUAAUUUUCCGCAAUGGGCGAAAGCCUGACGGAGCAAUGCCGCGUGGAGGUGGAAGGCCUACGGGUCGUCAACUUCUUUUCUCGGAGAAGAAACAAUGACGGUAUCUGAGGAAUAAGCAUCGGCUAACUCUGUGCCA
rnacentral:rRNA from 1 species